UGACCAUUUCGUAUUACCAAAAAUAAAAAAAGGUUCAAAGAAGAUCCAGUACGCUCUAUUCCAGUUAAUUCUUGUAACCUUUCUUCUUCCCAAAGGCCCCAAGAACUCAAACAAUAUAGAACAACACACACUGUGGAAUCGGAUUCGAAGAUCGCAAAAGACACAAUAAUUCUUUAAUACCAAUUUCGUGUUAAUCUCUUUAUACCAAUCAUGACAUCACCAAAAAAGCCACCGGCAGAAUCCGACCGUCCAUUGACGGCGAUCAUGCACCAACCGGCAUCUCCUCGUUUCCAUUUAGGAACACCCACUUCCGGAGCCAAUCGGAAGGUCGCUAUCGCCGUCGAUCUUAGCGACGAAAGUGCUUAUGCCGUCAAAUGGGCCGUGCAAAAUUACCUCCGACCAGGUGACGCCGUUAUUCUUCUCCAUGUCCGUCCAACUUCCGUACUCUACGGAGCUGAUUGGGGUGCUAGUGAUGUUUCUGUUGACACUGCAAAUGAAGAAUCACAGCAGAAAUUGGAAGAUGAUUUUGAUAACUUCACAACUACAAAAUCUAAUGAUUUAGCACAGCCACUUGUGGAGGCAAAUAUUCCAUUUAAGAUUCAUAUUGUGAAGGAUCAUGAUAUGAAGGAAAGGUUGUGUUUGGAAGUUGAGAGGUUGGGUUUGAGUGCUGUUAUAAUGGGGAGUAGAGGGUUUGGUGCAUCAAGGCGUAGCCCAAAAGGAGGGAUGCUUGGUAGUGUGAGUGAUUACUGUGUGCAUCAUUGUGUUUGCCCUGUUGUUGUUGUUAGAUAUCCUGAUGAUAAAGAUGCUACUAGUGGCAAUGAAUCGGUCACAGAUGUGCUUCACUCUGUGCCUGAGGAGGAACCUAUAUAUAAUGAUGCCUCCGAUAAAGCUGCAGAUGGGAGAAAGGGAGAGGAAGAAAGGUAAACAAGUGGAUGGUUUCUGGUGGAAAUAGUGUCAACAAGGAGAGAGGAGGGAUGAGGUUUAGUGGGAGUUCGGUGGCGAUUGAUACAGGUGGAAAGAGAAAAUGCUGGCCCUAAAUUCAUGGAAUGGUACUUGGUAGAGCAGGGUGAAGUAAAAAAGCUGAAAUGUCUUGGCAGCUCAUGAUGUAUGGACUAGGCGCACGUUAUGGGUUUGAACCCUGCUACAGACAAAAGCCUGGUAUCUACGUGAAGGAUAAAUGGAUUCGGAGAAGGCUUAUUGAAUAAGUUGAAGGUGAGGAGAUGUUUGAGUACUGGUGAGACGGCCUUGAUCCUGGUACAGGCGCGGGCCAUUUGGAACAUGAAUUUCAUGGUUUUUCAGUGCUUUCUUUUUCUUCUUAUGGCUGUCUGCUGUGUGUCGUGUUUAUGAAGUUUGGAAUGGUUGUAAUUGUUCAUGAUCUUCUUUUCUUUGUUUUAGGUUUUAAAAUAGGUUGUCUGUUUUUCAUGUGGAAUAACUAUCUUUUGAAGCUGCUUUGCAAGUUCAACGCUC